GCCGCCAUGGUGAAAUCGGUAGACACGCUGCUCUUAGGAAGCAGUGCUAGCGCAUCUCGGUUCGAGUCCGAGUGGCGGCA
rnacentral:tRNA from 5 species